GACGAACGCUGGCGGCGUGCUUAACACAUGCGAGUCGAACGGAAAGGCCCCUUUGGGGGUACUCGAGUGGCGAACGGGUGAGUAACACGUGAGUAACCUGCCCUUGACUUCGGGAUAACUUCAGGAAACUGGGGCUAAUACCGGAUAGGAAUCCUUGCUGCAUGGUGGGGGUUGGAAAGCUUCGGCGGUUUUGGAUGGACUCGCGGCUUAUCAGCUUGUUGGUGGGGUAGUGGCUUACCAAGGCUUUGACGGGUAGCCGGCCUGAGAGGGCGACCGGCCACAUUGGGACUGAGAUACGGCCCAGACUCCUACGGGAGGCAGCAGUGGGGAAUAUUGCACAAUGGGCGGAAGCCUGAUGCAGCAACGCCGCGUGCGGGAUGACGGCCUUCGGGUUGUAAACCGCUUUCAGCAGGGGCGAAGCUUGUGGUGACGGUACCUGCAGAAGAAGCACCGGCUAACUACGUG
rnacentral:rRNA from 1 species